rnacentral:rRNA from 1 species
UACGUAGGGUGCGAGCAUUAAUCGGAAUUAUUGGGCGUAAAGGGCGCGUAGGCGGAUUUGUAAGUCAGAUGUGAAAUUCCGAAGCUCAACUUCGGAGCUGCAUUUGAAACUGUGAGUCUAGAGGGAUGGCGGAGAAAAUGGAAUUCCACGUGUGGCGGUGAAAUGCGUAGAUAUGUGGAAGAACACCUGUGGCGAAAGCGGUUUUCUAGCUUUUUCCUGACGCUGAGGCGCGAGAGCAAGGGGAGCGAACAGG